ACAAGCGGUGGAGUAUGUGGUUUAAUUCGAUGCAACGCGAAGAACCUUACCUGGUCUUGACAUCCCGGAGACCCUUAGGAACUAGGGGUGCUUCCAUCUGGAAGAAUCUGGAGACAGGUGCUGCAUGGCUGUCGUCAGCUCGUGUCGUGAGAUGUUGGGUUAAGUCCCGCAACGAGCGCAACCCUUGCCUUUAGUUGCCAGCAGUUCGGCUGGGCACUCUAAAGGGACUGCCGGUGUUAAACCGGAGGAAGGUGGGGAUGACGUCAAGUCCUCAUGGCCUUUAUGACCAGGGCUACACACGUACUACAAUGGUCGAUACAAAGGGCAGCGACACUGCGAGGUGAAGCCAAUCCCGUAAAAUCGGUCUCAGUCCGGAUUGGAGUCUGCAACUCGACUCCAUGAAGUUGGAAUCGCUAGUAAUCGUGGAUCAGCAUGCCACGGUGAAUACGUUCCCGGGCCUU
rnacentral:rRNA from 1 species